AGCAGCCGCGGUAAUUCCAGCUUCAAUGGCGUAUAUUUAAGUUGUUGCAGUUAAAAAGCCCGUAGUUGAACUUCGGGGUUCACCCAUUGGUCAGGCUUAAUUGUCUGUACUGGUGAGAUGAGUCUCUACCUUCUGAGGGACUUUCAUGCCAUUUAUUUGGUGUGAUUGGAAAUCAGGACUGUUACUUUGAAAAAAUUAGAGUGUUUAAAGCAGGCUAACGUCUGAAUACAUUAGCAUGGAAUAAUGGAAUAGGACGGAUUGAUUCUAUUUCGUUGGUUUCUAGGAUCACCGUAAUGAUUAAUAGGGAUAGUUGGGGGCAUUAGUAUUCAAUUGUCAGAGGUGAAAUUCUUGGAUUUAUUGAAGACUAACUACUGCGAAAGCAUUUGCCAAGGAUGUUUUCACUAAUCAAGAACGAAAGUUAGGGGAUCGAAGACGAUCAGAUACCGUCGUAGUCUUAACCAUAAACUAUGCCGACUAGGGAUCGGACGCAGUUAAUUUUAUAAUGACGU
rnacentral:rRNA from 1 species